GCAUCGAUGAAGAACGCAGCGAAAUGCGAUAAGUAAUGUGAAUUGCAGAAUUCAGUGAAUCAUCGAAUCUUUGAACGCACAUUGCGCCCCCUGGCAUUCCGGGGGGCAUGCCUGUUCGAGCGUCAUUACACCACUCAAGCCUGGCUUGGUAUUGAGCGCCGCGGCCUGCCCGCGCGCUCCAAUGUCUCCGGCUGAGCCGUCCGUCUCUAAGCGUUGUGAAUAGCGAUCGCUUGCGAGGCCCGGGCGGUUCGACGCCGUUAAACCCCCCAUUUUCUAUGGUUGACCUCGGAUCAGGUAGGGAUACCCGCUGAACUUAAGCAUAUCAAUAAGCGGAGGA
rnacentral:rRNA from 1 species